rnacentral:ncRNA from 1 species
UCAGGUGCCGGGAGGCUUAAUAGGGAAUCCCGUGGGGGCAUAAGCCCAAUUCGGGAGCGGUCCCGCCGCUGUAACCGGGGACGAAAGUCAGAUAUGCCACUGGUCACUGACCGUUUGAAGGGCCGGAACCAUCAACCUGCCGUAACGGUUGAAAGGGCUCGAACAGUUAUACCGGGAAGGCUGGCGAGUAGAUUGAUCCGGGAGCCAGAAGACCUGCCUGAUGAU